rnacentral:rRNA from 1 species
GAUGAACGCUGGCGGCGUGCCUAAUACAUGCAAGUCGAGCGAACAGACGAGGAGCUUGCUCCUCUGACGUUAGCGGCGGACGGGUGAGUAACACGUGGAUAACCUACCUAUAAGACUGGGAUAACUUCGGGAAACCGGAGCUAAUACCGGAUAAUAUAUUGAACCGCAUGGUUCAAUAGUGAAAGACGGUUUUGCUGUCACUUAUAGAUGGAUCCGCGCCGCAUUAGCUAGUUGGUAAGGUAACGGCUUACCAAGGCAACGAUGCGUAGCCGACCUGAGAGGGUGAUCGGCCACACUGGAACUGAGACACGGUCCAGACUCCUACGGGAGGCAGCAGUAGGGAAUCUUCCGCAAUGGGCGAAAGCUUGACGGAGCAACGCCGCGUGAGUGAUGAAGGUCUUCGGAUCGUAAAACUCUGUUAUUAGGGAAGAACAAAUGUGUAAGUAACUAUGCACGUCUUGACGGUACCUAAACAGAAAGCAACGGCUAACUACGUG